rnacentral:rRNA from 1 species
CCUACGGGGUGCAGCAGUGGGGAAUAUUGGGCAAUGGGCGCAAGCCUGACCCAGCAACGCCGCGUGAAGGAAGAAGGCUUUCGGGUUGUAAACUUCUUUUCUCAGGGACGAAGCAAGUGACGGUACCUGAGGAAUAAGCCACGGCUAACUACGUGCCAGCAGCCGCGGGAAUACGUCGGUGGCAAGCGUUAUCCGGAUUUACUGGGUGUAAAGGGCGUGUAGGCGGGAAGGCAAGUCAGAUGUGAAAACCAUGGGCUCAACCUGUGCCCUGCAGUUGAAACUGUUUUUCUUGAGUACUGGAGAGGCAGACGGAAUUCCUGGUGUAGCGGUGAAAUGCGUAGAUAUUAGGAGGAACACCAGUGGCGAAGGCGGUCUGCUGGACAGCAACUGACGCUGAGGCGCGAAGGCGUGGGGAGCAAACAGGAUUAGAUACCCUAGUAGUC